rnacentral:rRNA from 1 species
CCCUUAGAUGUUCUGGGCCGCACGCGCGCUACACUGAUUCAUGCAACAAGUUUUGUCCUUGGCUGAUAGGCCUGGGUAAUCUUUGAACGUGAAUCGUGAUGGGGAUAGAUGAUUGCAAUUAUUCAUCUUCAACGAAGAAUUCCUAGUAAACGCAAGUCAUCAGCUUGCAUUGAUUACGUCCCUGCCCUUUGUACACACCGCCCGUCGCACCUACCGAUUGAAUGGUCCGGUGAAAUCUUCGGAUCUGAGAGAUGUCUGAUUAAUUUCGGACGCCUUUUGGAAAAGUUGCUUAAACCUUACCAUUUAGAGGAAGGUGAAGUCGUAACA